GCUAGUGGAUGGUACAAUAUGGCCCUUGGACAGCUGCUCCUGCACGAGAGACUGCAGCGCCUUUAGCUUUUUAUCUGGAAAGGGCCAGUGAUCCAUCCAUAUGGAUUUAUCAGUCCUCCAGGUUAGCUGAAGGGUGGCAUGCUGCUCAGUGGCCCUGACCGCAGUGGGACAAAGAUUUCUAGUCUUGCCCCCGACUGAGUUCAUAGGUCCCUCCCCCAGAGUGUUAUAGGGGACCGGACCACAAAAGGUCUUACCGUGGGUACCCUCCCCUCAGGUCCCUCAAUACAGAUGAUGUCCUGGCUCCUGAAACUGAUGUUAACCCAAUGCCCAGAAUGACUCCAGUGGUUGGUACAAGGGGCCACUCCUUUGGCCACUUGGAGCAGGAGAUGAUAAUGACAUCCACACUGGUGUCCAACAGUCCUGUGAGGUGUAUGGUUUUUCCCUUCUGGUAUAGAGCACACUCUGCAAUAGGUCUAUCAUGACCCAUGAUCUGAGCCCACAUCACUAGUGAAUCUGCAGGCAUGAUGACAGUCAAUUCUGGCAAAAGAUAAGAUUGGGAGACAACAGUGCCCUUGGGGAUGAAGAGAGUGGGGUUCAGGUAUAAAAUAUAAACUGUAAUUUCCUGUGUUGAUGUUAUAAUUGGUACUUUGGGGUGGAUAGUAUGUCCCUCUAUCCCCUCUCUCGUGUCCACCAUAAUUAAAAUGUCUUGGGGUUGAUCUUCCGGCCUGUAUUUCCCUGUCGGGAUGUUAUACACUUACAUGUCUUCAGUGUGUAUACAAAGUGUGCUUACUAACUGUUUCCAGGUUCCCAGCUGGACCUGUCGUAAGUUGAGCCCUUCUGCAAUGAUGGUGCUGUCACGACAGACUGGAGGAGCUCAGCAGGCUGGUCCUCCACGAUGGUUGAGAGAUUAGGGUGAAACAGCCUUGCAUUUGGUGUCAUAGCACAAGGCCUCUCCGCACUCAACCAGGAGUUUCCUGGAGAUGAAUUCAGUGGGAGAGAGCAGGUUUUGCAUAAAGUGCCUCGAGUCAUGAUGCACCAUAAUGUGAGCUACAGUAAGUUGUUAAAAUAAGGUGAGUUCCUCCUGUAAUCCUUUUGCUGCCUUACAAAUGUCUUUCAUCUCCCCAUGGGGGACAGAUUACCACUGGGGGUUAGCUCCUGUGCGAUACUGUGCUGGUGCCACUUGAAUUUUCAACACCAGUUCCCAGUCACCCUCCCUUGCGGCUGCUUUUGCAUCCUUUGCCAAAAGUCUUCAAACUCAGAUGAGCCCUCACUCUCUUCCUCUGAGGGGGAAGCCUAUUUCUCGGACGAGGAGCAAUGCAUUUGGCCAACUGGCAAGGCCCAGUGUUUUGGGCUUUCAGUAGCCAAGAUGGCUACCUUCUGGACAUCAUCAUUUCCACUAGCAUGGGAAACAGAAGAGGUUGGGUUGGAGGACGUGGGGCCCAUCCAAGGGAGGGACUUCCUGGUGGAAGGGGAGGGUCCUGAUACAGGGGUGGUACUCAGUGCGAGGGUGGGGCCUGAUGCAGGGGAAGGAUCUGACAAAAAGGUGGGAAACAGGGAGGGCGGUGGGAGUGAAUUCAAAAUAGCGGUUCCCCUCAUGGGGUGGGCACCAUUUUGUAUGGUGUAUGAUGGGAGGAUAGGAUCAAGGGGUGGCAGAACAUGGGUUAGGACAGAGUGGGGCAGUAUGGCCAGUACCAUCCUGGGUAGACAGGGAGGGGAGAUGGCAGGCAGCAGAUGGCUUGCUUGUGUCUCAUUGCAGGUUCCAUCUCCCGUCCUGUUCUCCAGAAUAAUGGGAUUAGGAAACAUGGAGACGGAAUGUAACAACUGGGGAAGCAAGCUCGAACCACUAACUUGGGAAAUGACCUCAUAAAUCAAAUGAAAAACAGAAUAAAACUUAGCAACUUUCAAAACCCCCAAGUUUGUAAAAAAUAAAUCCUCUCCCCAACAGAAUCCCAAAACUCCACUUGGUAAGCUAGAUCAUAGAAAUAUUUGGAAACUCUUUAAACAACCACUGAAUAAAACAUUUUAAAUUCCCCUUAACAAAAGGUUUCUCCUCUAGAAUCAAAAUUUCCCUAACCUGUAUGUAUACGUGCCUUUCAGCCUGGGACAACACAUUCCCCAUGGCUGCCUUUGAUGGAAAAGGAUUGCCCACCUAUAGGAAUUAAACAACUAAACCCUUUUCCCCUGCUUUCCUGGCUGUCUCCCAACCAAUAUCUCUCUCUCUGGCAGAUCUGGGUGCAGGUCUUCAAGAGAUCCUGUGGGCUGUUGUCAGCCGAAUCGGUCCUCCUGCUGUCUGGAGUGUGCUGACUCUCCUUUCCACAAGCCCUGAUAAAACUCAGGUCUUGCUUCUGGGUUGUGGCUCACCUGAAGAUGUCUUGCUUCCGACAACAAUGGACCGGAUGAUUUGUUGCUGGAGUCGCUCUCAGGGACCUCCAAAAAGGUCCCUUUUCAGGUGCCACUCGUUGUGUCA